GACGAACGCUGGCGGCGUGCUUAACACAUGCAAGUCGAACGGAAAGGCCCCUUUGGGGGUACUCGAGUGGCGACCGGGUGAGUAACACGUGAGUAACCUGCCCUUGCCUCCGGGAUAACUUCAGGAACCUGGGGCUAAUACCGGUUAGGAAUCCUUGCUGCAUGGUGGGGGUUGGAAAGCUUCGGCGGUUUUGGAUGGACUCGCGGCGUAUCAGCUUGUUGGUGGGGUAGUGGCUUACCAAGGCUAUGACGGGUUGCCGGCCUGAGGGGCUGAGCGGCCACACUGGGUCUGAGAGGCGGCCCAGGCGGGUACGGGUGGCAGCAGGGGGGAAUAUUGCACCAGGGGCGGAGGCCUGAUGCAGCAGGGCCGCGGGUGGGAAAGCGGCUUUGGGGUUGUAGACAGGUUGCAGCAGGAGCGAAGCUUGUGGUGACGGUACCUGCAGAAGAAGCACCGGCUAACUACGUG
rnacentral:rRNA from 1 species